rnacentral:rRNA from 1 species
ACCACAUCUAAGGAAGGCAGCAGGCACGCAAAUUACCCAAUGAACGAAGUUCGAGGUAGUGACGAAAAAUAACGAUAGCAGACUCAUCCGAGGCCUGCUAAUUGGAAUGAGUACACUUUAAAACCGUCCCCGAGGAUCUAUUGGAGGGCAAGUCUGGUGCCAGCAGCCGCGGUAAUUCCAGCUCCAAUAGCGUAUAUUAAAGUUGUUGUGGUUGAAAAGCUCGUAGUUGGAUCUCAACAGACCCGGAUCGGUUUACUUUGUGUAAUACUGAUCCGGACCUGUGCUUUUGCUGGAGGUUUAGGGGUGCUCUUAACCGAGUGUCUCUGAGUGCCAGCAGGUUUACUUUGAAGAAAAUUGGUUGCUCAAGGAAGGCUGUUAUGCCUGAAAAUUUGUGCAUGGAAUAAUAGAAUAGGAUGUUGAUCUUAUUUUGUUGGUUUUCAAGACUCGACAUAAUGAUUUAUAGGGACAGUCCGGGGGCAUUUGUAUUCAAACGACAGAGGUGAAAUUCUUGGGACCGUUUGAAGACAAACUACUGCGAAAGCAUUUGCCAAGAAUGUUUUCAUUAAUCAAGAACGAAAGUUAGAGGUUCGAAGGCGAUUAGAUACCGCCCUAGUUCUAACCAUAAACGAUGCCAGCUAGCGAUCUGCUGACGUUUUUACUGUAGACUCAGCAGGAAGCUUCCGGGAAACCAAAGCAUUUGGGUUCCAGGGGAAGUAUGGUUGCAAAGCUGAAACUUAAAGGAAUUGACGGAAGGGCACCACCAGGAGUGGAGCCUGUGGCUUAAUUUGACUCAACACGGGAAAUCUCACCAGGCCCGGACACUGGAAGGAUUGACAGAUUGAUAGCUCUUUCUUGAUUCGGUGGGUGGUGGUGCAUGGCCGUUCUUAGUUGGUGGAGUGAUUUGUCUGGUUAAUUCCGAUAACGAACGAGACUCUGUCCUGCUAAAUAGUGUUAUCUUCUUUUUUGAGAUGACAAUUCUUCUUAGAGGGGCUGGCAACUCUUAGUUGCACGAGAUUGAGCAAUAACAGGUCUGUGAUGCCCUUAGAUGUUCUGGGCCGCACACGCGCUACACUGAAUAGAUCAGCGUGUCACCCUUCCCGAAAGGGACGGGUAAACCGCUGAACCCUAUUCGUGGUAGGGAUCGGGGCUUGCAAUUAUUCCCCGUGAACCAGGAAUUCCCAGUAGGCACAGGUCAUAAGCCUGUGUCGAUUACGUCCCUGCCCUUUGUACACACCGCCCGUCGCUACUACCGAUUGAACGUUUUAGUGAGGUCCUCGGAUUGUGAUUCAGCUGGUUCACGCUGACUGUUUUGCGAGAAGACGACCAAACUGAAGUGUUUAGAGGAAGU